CACGUAGGGCGCAAGCGUUGUCCGGAAUUAUUGGGCGUAACGAGCUCGUAGGCGGUCUGUUGCGUCCGCUGUGAAAACCCGGGGCUUAACCCCUGGCUUGCAGUGGAUACGGACAGACUAGAGGUAGGUAGGGGAGAAUGGAAUUCCCGGUGUAGCGGUGAAAUGCGCAGAUAUCGGGAGGAACACCGGUGGCGAAGGCGGUUCUCUGGGCCUUACCUGACGCUGAGGAGCGAAAGCGUGGGGAGCGAACAGG
rnacentral:rRNA from 1 species